GCAUUUUUUUUUUUUUAACCCACCUCCCUCCCUUUCUCAGCUCCUCCUUCGCGCUGGCACCGCCUCUCUUCCUGCGGCGGGUGCGACGCGAGUUUAGGCGCCGGCAGCGUGGAGAUGAUGGCGGGGUCUCCGGCGUCCCUGUCGGGACAGGACGUAGGAUCGUUUGCAUAUCUUACAAUUAAAGACAGAAUACCACAGAUCUUAACCAAAGCUAUUGAUACAUUGCAUCGACAUAAAAAUGAAUUUUUUGAGAAACAUGGAGAGAAAGGCACAGAAGCUGAAAAGAAAGCAAUUUCUCUUCUUUCUAAAUUACGAAAUGAAUUGCAAACAGAUAAACCAAUAAUCCGCUUUGUUGAGAAGUUUGUUGAUACUGACAUAUGGAAUCAGUACCUAGAAUAUCAACAGAGUCUUAUAAAUGAAAAUGAUGGGAAACCCAGGUGGUUUUACUCACCUUGGUUGUUUGUAGAGUGCUACAUGUAUCGUAGAAUUCAUGAAGCAAUUAUCCAAAGUCCGCCAAUCGAUGACUUUGAUGUAUUUAAAGAAUCAAAAGAGCAAAAUUUCUUUGAGUCACAGGAAUCUCUCAUUGCUUUGUGUACUCACCUACAAGAGUUGAGAACAACUAUCGAAGACCUAGAUGAAAAUCAGCUGAAAGAUGAAUUUUUCAAACUUCUUCAGAUUUCGCUGUGGGGCAAUAAAUGUGAUCUGUCUCUAUCGGGCGGGGAAACCAGUUCUCAGAGAACCAACAUAAUAAAUUCUGUGGAGGAACUAAAACCUUUCAUUUUAGUGAAUGACAUGGAACAUCUUUGGUCACUGCUUAACAACUGCAAAAAAACAAGAGAAAAAGCGUCUGUUACUAGAGUAGAUGUUGUUCUGGAUAAUUCUGGGUUUGAACUCGUUACGGAUUUAGUAUUAGCUGACUUUCUGUUGUGCUCUCAACUGGCUACCGAGAUCCGUUUUUAUGGAAAAACUAUUCCGUGGUUUGUUUCUGAUACUACUGUCCAUGAUUUUAACUGGUUAAUUGAACAAAUGAAAGGUUCUAAUCACAAGUGGAUGUCCAAGUGUGGGGCCGACUGGGAAAACUCUAUUAAAAUGGGCAGAUGGGUUUACCAUGAUCAUAUAUUUUGGACUCUUCCUCAUGAAUUCUGUGUAAUGUCUCAGGUUGCUCCUGACUUAUAUGCCGAACUACAAAAGGCACAUUUAAUUUUAUUCAAGGGUGAUUUGAACUAUAGGAAGCUGACAGGCGAUAGAAAGUGGGCAUGUACCAUUCCCUUUCGUCAGGCUCUGCGAGGGUUCCAUCCUGCCCCUCUCUGCAGUGUAAGGACAUUAAAGGCCGAGGUUCAGGUGGGGCUGCAGCCCGGGCAAGCUGAACAGCUCGCAGCCUCCGAGCCCAACUGGAUGACCACCGGGAAGUAUGGAAUAUUUCAGUUUGAUGGUCCGCUCUGACUUGCUUUAGGAUGUCUUAAGUUGUCUGGAAAAACCUGACAGUCGCUUGGCAUCCCCAGAAAGGCAGUGUGCGAAUUGAGUCACAGGGCUGCUCUGCCUGGCUCUGGGAAGCCUGGCUUCUCGGUGCUCCCGUAUGUGCACUCUGGACGCUUCUCUCUUCGAACGUUUUGCCCCACGACAUUGUUUGGGAGAUAGACGGAGUAAGCUAGUUACAGAGAUUUACGUUUCUGUUGGCAUUUUAGUAACUUAUUUCAAGUUAAAUGCAUAAUUUCAAGUGGUACUAAUGAACUUAUUUUUAAUUGGGCAGAAAGUAAAAUAAUGCGUGAAUUCUGCUUUUAAAGUUCGUUAACAUUCUUUUAAUGCUAUGCUGCAUGGUAUUUAUAAGCAUGGGAUUUUAUUUAACUUGUUUUGGCGCUCUAAAAAUAAGGGCUCUGGGAAGACAUUUUAAAUACGCUUUGAAAAGAGAGGGAUUUCUUACAGCUGUGACAUUUGAACAAUGGACGUAAAGAUUACUUACCUUAUAAGUUAGUUUUAAAUUUUGUUCUCCUUGAAUUUUAUUUCCUUUUAAAUACCCUGUUUUAUUUGCACGCCUUUGUAUUUUGAUUGACCUGCGGAAUGGACACUAGGAAACCCAAGGUUGAACAGAAACAACUGGUAUUUGAAGAACCGUGGUACCUUUUUACAUUCUAUUUGCAAUGUCCAUGAUCAACUGAAAUGUAGUAUUUUAACACGUUAUUUAUUUAUUUUGAGAGAGAGGCAAAGAGAGAUGGAGAGAAGGAUUCCCAAGCAGGCUCCACACCAUCAGUGCAGAGCCCCACGUGGAGCUCAAACUCAUGGAACCAUGAGAUCAUGACCUGAGCGGAAACCAAGAGUCAAACGCUUAACCAACUGAGCCGUGCAGGCGCCCCUUUAUUUCCUAAACAGAAAGGGAUUUGAAUUUCUGAAACCCCAAUAAUGGUGAUCUUAGAGAAGAUCCAUCACUACCUUCCAUUACUGAGCCUCUCAGGCCUCACUCCACUUCCAGUCCGCCUGGGUGCUCAGACUCCAGAUCGUCCCUCUCCUCCUCACCUCCACCCCCAUUCCUACCAGAGCCAAAUCUCAGGGGGUCCCCAACAGCCCAUCCUGAAGACCUCCUCGCCCUGCCUCCACCUCCUCCAAUGCAUCCCGCCUACUGUUGUACCGUUGUCUUCCUCUGGGUGCAACUUCCUAACAGUGCUCUUCCAAAACUUGAGCAGCAGAAGAGUUCCUAGACACCACGGCCCAAAUUCAGCCUGGCAUUGAAUCUGGAAGAAGCAUUUCCAGGAGGUGUACUAGGUCACACAGCUGGUAGCUUUCUGCCUCUGUUGUUGUUAUAAAGGAAAGCAGAAGUCUGUACCGAGGUAUGAAGGAUCAUAAUAUACUAUCCACACAUGCAGUUUCGUGAGAAAUCUAGGCUGGAACUUGCUUUGUUCAUCCUUAUCUCCCUCCCUUGCUUAAUUAAACCGUCAUCAUGCCCAGAAUCCCCCCACCGUCAGCUUGCAUGUUCUACAGCAUUGUGCCAGCUGGUCCCAAAUUGUGGUCCUUUCCACAGUCCAGCUCAGGCCU